rnacentral:lncRNA from 1 species
UGUAAUUAGCGUAUAAUGAGCAGUGAGACGACUGGAGGUCACUUUCAUCGCCAUCUUCGUUUUGGUGGGUUUUGGACAGUUUUUUUUUUUUUUUUUUUUUUUUUUUUGAGACAGAUUUUCGCUCUGUUGCCCAGCUUCUUUACGCAUACUGUUUUAUCAGCAAGGUCUUUGUGACGUGUAUCUUGUGCCGACCUCCUAUCUCAUCCUGUGUCUAGGAACGCCUUAACCUCCUGGAAUGCAGCUCAUGUCACCCUGCUUGCACAUGGAAGGGAGGCUUGAGAGGCUGCAGAAUGGCCCUGGAGAAGGCAAGAGACAACGUCUGGUUGGCCUGGAGUGCACGUCUGUGAGAGACUUUGGGGCAGUUCUCUCUUCUCUAUGCUAGAGCCAUUAAUGCCCUGUGCACUUCAUUGCCUUUGACCAUCAUUCCUUGCUCCUGGAAUGCCACCUCCUCUUUGCCACAGUUAAUAAAAUCAGCUGAAGCCUC